AGUGGAGAGUCCCUGGGAAAUCUUAGGCCAGAGGAAAGUUACCGGGCUAGAAUUUGACUAGCAGUUGUGCUCUCCAGUAAAGACCACAGGAUCUUUCAUGAUGCAGUGAAUUUAGUUAAUUAAAACCCAGCAACUACAGCCUCUGUUUCUGGACCUGGAAUGGCAGCACCAUACCUCCUUCUGUGUGGCAAAAAGCAUGGCAUCAGCACUCCUUCAAGAGGGCUUGGCAAGG